UACCAUGGAGGGACUAACUUUGGAAGAACCUCUGCACAUUAUGUAACCACUCGAUACUAUGAUGAUGCACCUCUUGAUGAAUAUGGUUUAGAGAAAGAGCCUAAGUAUGGUCAUCUUAAGCAACUUCACAACGCUCUUAACCUCUGCAAGAAGCCACUUCUUUGGGGUCAGCCUAAAACAGAAAAACCUGGAAAAGAUACAGAGGUACUAACAUCAUAUAUAAAUAUCUACACAUAAAAUGUAAUAAAAUAAAGACUCUGAUUCUUUCCAAAAUAAUCAAGAGGAUUUAACUUUCUUUUGCUAUGUAAUCACAGAUUAGAUACUACGAACAACCUGGAACGAAAACUUGCGCAGCUUUCUUGGCUAACAAUAACACUGAAGCUGCAGAAACCAUCAAAUUCAAGGGGAGAGAAUACGUGAUAGCGCCUCGUUCCAUUAGUAUUCUUCCAGAUUGCAAAACUGUUCUUUACAACACUGCACAG
rnacentral:lncRNA from 1 species